UGUUUAGCAAGACAGGUACUUGCAGGUCAAAAAAUACAUUGAGUUUUACGUGGUUGUGGACAACAAAAUGUACAGGAAUUACAACAGCACAAAACAUGCUAUAAAAAGAAAAGUAUAU